UUUUUUUUGUCAACCGAUAUAAAUUAAACCUCAAAAGAGCCAAUCCCGAGGGAUAUUGUUUACAUACGUGACAUGAUGCGGUACGGUACGAAUCUUUCGUGCCAACUUAUCCGCUUUUACAUUUGCACUACGAGAAAUUAAAGAUAAAGAGAAAUUUGUGAAUUCUUCCCUAUCACUUUGCAACUCCUCCAAAUACACUGAAAACGCCGGCCAUUCGGUUGGAGAAGACACCAUCUUCACCAAGUCUGAACAGUCUGUAAAGAAAGCUACGUUCUGAUUAUCUGCUCCAAUCAUGCACUUCAUCGCCCAAAGAAGAGCUUCCAUUUCGGUAUGUAGAGGAGAUAGACUUCUACGAACGUUGGCGGCUCCCAUGGUUGGCGACUCUCCAAGAGAUGAUAGACAGAACCAUCCUGUUCCUGAGAACUGGUCACUUGCUUUCCAAGAUCCAUCAAUAAAACACCGAAAGCCAGAAAAAGUUGUAUCUUGUGAUACAUCCCUCACCCGAAUUCGACUAUCUAUAGACAAGGAACCAUGUUUUUCACUAUGGAGCUCGACUUGAGCUUCCUGCCACGAUUGAGCCUCUUUUACCGAUAAGAGCAAUAUUUCCAUUGGAUCUUUAUCCACAUUUUCAAAAACUUUUUCAUUUCUUGCUUUCCAUAUAUACCAAAUUAUCCAUGGGUAAGAAGCCGAAUCGACGCCUGAAGGAAUUCUCCAAAACAAAUGAUCCAAAUUCGUAAAAAUUGAAUUCGAAGGAAAAAUCCUUGGGGCCGUAGGAAUUUGUGAUAGUGCCCAAAUCUGCCUUGCAGGAUGGCAUAGAAAAGGUUUAUAUUUUAGUUUUAAUAUAAAAAAGAGGGGAAAAGAGUAUUUGCAAGUUGC
rnacentral:sRNA from 1 species